AUUGAACGCUGGCGGCAUGCCUUACACAUGCAAGUCGAACGGUAACAGGUCUUCGGACGCUGACGAGUGGCGAACGGGUGAGUAAUACAUCGGAACGUGCCCAGUCGUGGGGGAUAACUACUCGAAAGAGUAGCUAAUACCGCAUACGAUCUGAGGAUGAAAGCGGGGGACCUUCGGGCCUCGCGCGAUUGGAGCGGCCGAUGGCAGAUUAGGUAGUUGGUGGGAUAAAAGCUUACCAAGCCGACGAUCUGUAGCUGGUCUGAGAGGACGACCAGCCACACUGGGACUGAGACACGGCCCAGACUCCUACGGGAGGCAGCGGUGGGGAAUUUUGGACAAUGGGCGAAAGCCUGAUCCAGCAAUGCCGCGUGCAGGAUGAAGGCCUUCGGGUUGUAAACUGCUUUCGUACGGAACGAAAAAGUCUCCUCUAAUACAGGAGGCCCAUGACGGUACCGUAAGAAUAAGCACCGGCUAACUACGUGCCAGCAGCCGCCGUAA
rnacentral:rRNA from 1 species